rnacentral:rRNA from 1 species
AUUGAACGCUGGCGGCAUGCCUUACACAUGCAAGUCGAACGGUAACAGGUCUUCGGAUGCUGACGAGUGGCGAACGGGUGAGUAAUACAUCGGAACGUGCCCAGACGUGGGGGAUAACGAGGCGAAAGCUUUGCUAAUACCGCAUACGAUCUAAGGAUGAAAGCAGGGGACCGCAAGGCCUUGCGCGUUUGGAGCGGCCGAUGGCAGAUUAGGUAGUUGGUGAGAUAAAAGCUUACCAAGCCGACGAUCUGUAGCUGGUCUGAGAGGACGACCAGCCACACUGGGACUGAGACACGGCCCAGACUCCUACGGGAGGCAGCAGUGGGGAAUUUUGGACAAUGGGCGAAAGCCUGAUCCAGCAAUGCCGCGUGCAGGAUGAAGGCCUUCGGGUUGUAAACUGCUUUUGUACGGAACGAAAAGGCUCUGGCUAAUACCUGGGGCACAUGACGGUACCGUAAGAAUAAGCACCGGCUAACUACGUG